CAGCAGCCGCGGUAAUACGUAGGUGGCAAGCGUUGUCCGGAAUUAUUGGGCGUAAAGGGCUCGCAGGCGGUUUCUUAAGUCUGAUGUGAAAGCCCCCGGCUCAACCGGGGAGGGUCAUUGGAAACUGGGGAACUUGAGUGCAGAAGAGGAGAGUGGAAUUCCACGUGUAGCGGUGAAAUGCGUAGAGAUGUGGAGGAACACCAGUGGCGAAGGCGACUCUCUGGUCUGUAACUGACGCUGAGGAGCGAAAGCGUGGGGAGCGAACAGGAUUAGAUACCCCCGUAGUCCCUGUCUCUUAUAA
rnacentral:rRNA from 1 species